GCAGAUGUGGCGGAAUUGGUAGACGCGCUAGCUUCAGGUGUUAGUGGCUUAACGGUCGUGGGAGUUCAAGUCUACCCAUCUGCACCA
rnacentral:tRNA from 1 species